rnacentral:rRNA from 1 species
GACCUCGGAUCAGGUGGGGAUACCCGCUGAACUUAAGCAUAUCAAUAAGCCGG